CUGUAUAACAACGGUACCCACUAGACCCUAUAUAACCCCUGUAAAAACAUUUCUACCCUACUACUGUAUAUGAAAUGUAUCCCCCUAUAUCCUACCCACUGUAACCACCUGCUACUGAAUAGAAACUGUAACCUCUAACACUUGUAUAACCACUUUAACCUCUAACACCUGUAUAUCCUCUGUUUCCUCUAGCCUACCCAUCUAAUGAAUACCUAUAAGAAUAAUACCUAUAAGGAUAACAGAUUAAUUCCUCGCUUGUUGGAUAUACUUUUCCUGAAUACCCAUGAUGUACUGAACCUGAAUAACCAUGCUUAACAACUGGUUCAUCCACUCCGUAUCAUAUGCUUAACAACAGGUUCAUCCACUCCGUAUCAUAUGCUUAACAACAGGUUCAUCCACUCCGUAUCAUAUGCUUAACAACAGGUUCAUCCACUCCGUAUCAUAUGCUUAACAACAGGUUCAUCCACUCCGUAUCAUAUGCUUAACAACAGGUGAAUGAACUACUUAUUAAAUGCAAAUAAACUACAAAGAUUACUCUUGCUACACAAAGGACACCUGCACACACUUUACUUACUACUUACCAAAUCAACACUAGCUAGAUGGAGUCUUUCCUUUCAAAGUGAAACGAUUUUCCUUUUACGUUGAGAUAUUAGAAUUGGAUUUUCUCGGACGAUAUUAAAGUGAUCCACUUGAGAACGUAAGCCAGGCAUAAUUGGAGUCCCUUUAGCCUUAAGCCUGCAUGAAUGCUUCCUUCUUUUGUAC
rnacentral:lncRNA from 1 species